CAUUGAAAAGAAAAGGAAUUGCACGCGUUUGUCGCCCCACCCCCUUCCUUUCUCCAACUCUUUCCUUCAGCAAAUGCCCUAGCUCCACCAAAGAAAGCAAACCCUAGCCUCCACCAAUCUUGUCGCCGUCUGUCGGAGUGAGAAACUGCUGCUGCCGCCUCCGUUGCACUCAAGAACUUCUGUCUUCGUGCUAUCGGCGCUCGCUACUUCGAUCUCUCCAUCCCCUGUUCGCUCUCACGAAUCGCCUGGUUGCCGUCGUCCGCGCGCUCAACAGCUCUCCGUCGUCCGUCGAAGAGAUGUUGAGGGACUCUUAAGCUUAUAUGAAGCUUCACAUCUUAGGAUUCAUGGAGAAGACAUAUUAGAUGAAGCUCUUCGAUUCACCGUAAAUCCAUAACUCUUAUGAACGUUAUUUUGUUUUAUUUUAUUUUUCAAUUUGAUGAUAUCUUUGAUCUUUGUUGCCUAUGUUAGUUGGUGUUUGUUGAUGGCCUGGAGUUUUGAGCUGUUUGUUAGAUGAAUUUAGUUGUGAUAAAUUUUGAUAAUUGUUAUGUUUUGAGAAGGUUUGGUUAGUAAUUAAGUUGAGCUUGAGUUUAGAUUGUGAUAAAUUUUGAUAAUUGUUAUGUUUUGAGAAGGUUUGGUUCGGUGAUUAGAUUGAGCUUAAUUGUAGAAGAGGUCUUGCUACUCAAUUAUAAGAUUGUACAUUGCAUUUUGUUUGAACA